UACGAAGGGGGCUAGCGUUGCUCGGAAUGACUGGGCGUAAAGGGCGCGUAGGCGGCUUGUAUAGUCGGAUGUGAAAUUCCUGGGCUUAACCUGGGGGCUGCAUACGAGACGUAUGGGCUUGAGUGCGGAAGAGGGUCGUGGAAUUCCGAGUGUAGAGGUGAAAUUCGUAGAUAUUCGGAAGAACACCAGUGGCGAAGGCGGCUCACUGGACCGGCAUUGACGCUGAGGUGCGAAAGCGUGGGGAGCAAACAGG
rnacentral:rRNA from 1 species